rnacentral:rRNA from 1 species
CCUACGGGAGGCAGCAGUGAGGAAUAUUGGUCAAUGGACGAGAGUCUGAACCAGCCAAGUAGCGUGAAGGAUGACUGCCCUAUGGGUUGUAAACUUCUUUUAUAUGGGAAUAAAAUGUUCCACGUGUGGGAUUUUGUAUGUACCAUAUGAAUAAGGAUCGGCUAACUCCGUGCCAGCAGCCGCGGUAAUACGGAGGAUCCGAGCGUUAUCCGGAUUUAUUGGGUUUAAAGGGAGCGUAGGUGGAUUGUUAAGUCAGUUGUGAAAGUUUGGGGCUCAACCGUAACAUUGCAGUUGAAACUGGCAGUCUUGAGUACAGUAGAGGUGGGCGGAAUUCGUGGUGUAGCGGUGAAAUGCUUAGAUAUCACGAAGAACUCCGAUUGCGAAGGCAGUUCACUGGACUGCAACUGACACUGAGGCUCGAAAGUGUGGGUAUCAAACAGGAUUAGAUACCCCUGUAGUC